rnacentral:rRNA from 1 species
CCUACGGGAGGCAGCAGUGAGGAAUAUUGGUCAAUGGGCGGAAGCCUGAACCAGCCAAGUAGCGUGCAGGAUGACGGCCCUACGGGUUGUAAACUGCUUUUAUACGGGAAUAACGCGCCUUACGUGUAGGGCUUUGCAUGUACCGUAUGAAUAAGGACCGGCUAAUUCCGUUCCAGCAGCCGCGGUAAUACGGAGGGUCCGGGCGUGAGCCGGAUUUAUUGGGUUUAAAGGGAGCGUAGGCCGCAUGUCAAGCGUGCUGUGAAAUGUCCGGGCUCAACCCGGGCCUUGCAGCGCAAACUGGCGUGCUUGAGUCCGCGGAAAGCAGGCGGAAUUCGUGGUGUAGCGGGGAAAUGCUUAGAUAUGGCGAAGAACCCUGAUUGCGAAGGCAGGUUGCUGCAGCGGAACUGACGCUGAUGCUCGAAGGCGCGGGUAUCGAACGGGAUUAGAUACCCGAGUAGUC